rnacentral:lncRNA from 1 species
AUAGAUGACCAAGGCUGAGAAGAGAGUGUCCAGGAGAAACCAGUCAAAUCAGCAGAAUGGGUCCACAGAUGCUAUAAGAUAACAACAAAACAGUCUCUGUGAAAAUCUUGGGAGAAAUUCCAAGCAGGAGUGAGAGGGCAGAACCUUCAUCCAGUCAACAACCAGUAGCGGUAUCCGGAAUACGCACAGCACUGUGAGCUACAACAAAGCACACGGCAGCACACAGAACACAGUAAAAACCUCGGGAAGCUUGGGCUGCUCAU